rnacentral:rRNA from 1 species
UACGGAAGGCAGCAGUGGGGAAUAUUGCACAAUGGGCGAAAGCCUGAUGCAGCUAUGCCGCGUGUAUGAAGAAGGCCUUAGGGUUGUAAAGUACUUUCAUCGGGGAGGAAAAAACAAAACUAAUAAUUUUUAUUUCUUGACGUUACCCGAAAAAGAAGCACCGGCUAACUCCGUGCCAGCAGCCGCGGUAAUACGGAGGGUGCUAGCGUUAAUCAGAAUUACUGGGCGUAAAGAGCACGUAGGUGGUUUUUUUAAAGUCAGAUGUGAAAUCCCUGGGCUUAACCUAGGAACUGCAUUUUGAAACUGAAAUACUAGAGUAUCGUAGAGGGAGGUAGAAUUCUAGGUGUAGCGGUGAAAUGCGUAGAUAUCUGGAGGAAUACCUGUGGCGAAAGCGGCCUCCUAAACGAAUACUGACACUGAGGUGCGAAAGCGUGGGGAGCAAAACAGGGAUUAGGAU